ACUUAUAAAGGAUGUUCCAAUCUAGAUCUUCUCACAGUACAUCGGUAAAGUCUCUAGGUUCAGAGCAUCAGCUUUUUAAUAUUAAAAAAUGGAAAACUUUGCUACUGAUAAACUUCUCCAGAUCUUCACUCAAUAUGCUAUGAAAGAAGGUAGUUCGACAUUGCUAUCAACUGUAGGACUUGAAAAUCUGAUUAAGGAUAACUUCACAAACUUUUUGGGUUCAAUGUCUUUCAAUGACAUUAAGAAACAUGCAGACAUAGAUAAAAAUGGAAACAUCAACUUCAAUGAUUUUAAGGCACUGAUAACCAAGCUUUGUAGUAUGGGUGGAUUAUCUGCUUUGACUGGACUUGCUGGAUUUGGAUCCUAAACCAUCUUACAAAAGGAAGGAAGAUAAAGACGACAUGUGAGAUCCCCAAACCACCCUCUUAUGGACUCUGAAAAUGGUUGCAUUUUUACAAAGAAUCUCUUUAAUAUGAAACUAAAUCAUUGUUGAAAAGAUGGGUGUCACCAAAUAAAUAUCUAUUUUCAAUUAAAAUAAA